rnacentral:rRNA from 2 species
UACGUAGGGUGCGAGCGUUGUCCGGAAUUACUGGGCGUAAAGAGCUCGUAGGUGGUUUGUCGCGUUGUUCGUGAAAACCGGGGGCUUAACCCUCGGCGUGCGGGCGAUACGGGCAGACUUGAGUACUGCAGGGGAGACUGGAAUUCCUGGUGUAGCGGUGGAAUGCGCAGAUAUCAGGAGGAACACCGGUGGCGAAGGCGGGUCUCUGGGCAGUAACUGACGCUGAGGAGCGAAAGCGUGGGGAGCGAACAGG